GACGAACGCUGGCGGCGUGCUUAACACAUGCAAGUCGAACGAAGUGGCGAACUGGUGAGUAACGCGUAAUCACCCUGCUCUUCAGCGGGUGACAACAGUUGGAAACGACUGCUCAUACCCCAUACUGAAGGAGGGCAUUGCGUGGGAUUAGCUAGUGGGAGGGGUAACGGCCCACCAAGGCGAGGAUCAGUAGCCGGUCUGAGAGGAUGAACGGCCACAUUGGGACUGAGACACGGCCCAGACUCCUACGGGAGGCAGCAGUGGGGAAUCUUCCGCAAUGGACGAAAGUCUGACGGAGCAACGCCGCGUGAGUGAAGACGGCUUUCGGGUUGUAAAGCUCUGUUAAUCGGGACGCGGUACCGGAAUAGAAGGCCACGGUUAACUACGUGCAAGCGGCCGCGGUAAUA
rnacentral:rRNA from 1 species